rnacentral:rRNA from 1 species
GACGAACGCUGGCGGCGUGCCUAAUACAUGCAAGUCGAACGCUGAAGGAGGAGCUUGCUUCUCUGGAUGAGUUGCGAACGGGUGAGUAACGCGUAGGUAACCUGCCUGGUAGCGGGGGAUAACUAUUGGAAACGAUAGCUAAUACCGCAUAAUAGCAGUUGUUGCAUGAUAACUGUUUGAAAGGUGCAAUUGCACCACUACCAGAUGGACCUGCGUUGUAUUAGCUAGUUGGUGGGGUAACGGCUCACCAAGGCGACGAUACAUAGCCGACCUGAGAGGGUGAUCGGCCACACUGGGACUGAGACACGGCCCAGACUCCUACGGGAGGCAGCAGUAGGGAAUCUUCGGCAAUGGACGGAAGUCUGACCGAGCAACGCCGCGGGAGUGAAGAAGGUUUUCGGAUCGUAAAGCUCUGUUGUAAGAGAAGAACGAGUGUGAGAGUGGAAAGUUCACACUGUGACGGUAUCUUACCAGAAAGGGACGGCUAACUACGUG